GUAAAGAAGUAAAAAAAAUUACAUUUAGUUUCGACCUAAAAAUAAGAUUAAAAUCCAUACUU
rnacentral:tRNA from 1 species